rnacentral:rRNA from 1 species
ACCCUGGUAGUCCACGCCGUAAACGAUGAGUGCUAGAUGUCGGAAGAUUCUCUUUCGGUUUCGCAGCUAACGCAUUAAGCACUCCGCCUGGAGAGUACGGUCGCAAGAUUAAAACUCAAAGGAAUUGACGGGGGCUCGCACAAGCGGUGGAGCAUGCGGUUUAAUUCGAUGUUACGCGAAAAACCUUACCAACCCUUGACAUGGUGGUCGCGGAUCGCAGAGAUGCUUUCCUUCAGCUCGGCUGGACCGCACACAGGUGUUGCACGGCUGUCGUCAGCUCGUGUCGUGAGAUGUUGGGUUAAGUCCCGCAACGAGCGCUACCCUCAUUCUUAUUUGCCAGCGGGUAAUGCCGGGAACUAUAAGAAAACUGCUGGUGAUAAGCCAGAGGAAGGUGGGGACGACGUCAAGUCAUCAUGGCCCUUACGGGUUGGGCUACACGCGUGCUACAAUGGUGUUUACAGAGGGAAGCAAGACGGCGACGUGGAGCAAAUCCCUAAAAGACAUCUCAGUCCGGAUUGUUCUCUGCAACUCGAGAGCAUGAAGUUGGAAUCGCUAGUAAUCGCGGAUCAGCAUGCCGCGGUGAAUACGUUCUCGGGCCUUGUACACACUGCCCGUCACGCCAUGGGAGUUGGUUUUACCUGAAGGUGGUGAGCU